UUUAGAGGUCUCAGAUGCUUAUGUAAAGAAGGCAUUGGGAAAAAGAUGGAGAGACAAUAAAAGUACUUUGAAGAAAAAUUAUUAUAAGACAAAAACAACCCUCGAUGAGAAAUUGCAAAAUGUCCCGCCGGGUAUGUUGAGGUACCAAUGGGAAGAUGCGGUUAGAUUUUGGCAUUCGAAGAAAGGCGAGGAUCGUGAACAAGUUGGAAAAAGCAGCAGGCAGAAACAAAAAUUCACCCACACAGCCGGGUCGAGAAGUUUUGCAUGUGUAGCUGAGGCGGAGGAACUGUCGUCCGGUCAAAAAGUUGGACGCCUUUAACUUUUUGAAAUUACACAUAGGAAGAAAGAUAGAUCUCCCAUGACUCCUGAAGCUGGUGAAAUAAUG